rnacentral:rRNA from 1 species
UACGAGAGGCCCAAACGUUAUUCGGAUUUACUGGGCUUAAAGAGUUCGUAGGCGGUGCAGAAAGUGGGGUGUGAAAGCCCUCGGCUCAACCGAGGAAUUGCGCUCCAAACUACUGUGCUAGAGGAAGCUAGAGGUGAGCAGAACAGAUGGUGGAGCGGUGAAAUGCGUAGAUAUCUGGAGGAACACCGGUGGCGAAGGCGGCGUUCUGGACUGCAACUGACACUGAGGAACGAAAGCCAGGGGAGCAAACGGG